GGGAAUGUGGUGUAGGUGGUUGUUGCACGAGGGUCUGAAAAACCCCAGGCUUGAGUUCAAUUCUCAGCGUUCCCA
rnacentral:tRNA from 1 species